UAGGGAAUCUUCGGCAAUGGGGGGAACCCUGACCGAGCAACGCCGCGUGAGUGAAGAAGGUUUUCGGAUCGUAAAGCUCUGUUGUUAAGGAAGAACGAGUGUGAGAAUGGAAAGUUCAUACUGUGACGGUACUUAACCAGAAAGGGACGGCUAACUACGUGCCAGCAGCCGCGGUAAUACGUAGGUCCCGAGCGUUGUCCGGCUUUAUUGGGCGUAAAGCGAGCGCAGGCGGUUAGAUCAGUCUGAAGUUAAAGGCAGUGGCUCAACCAUUGUAGGCUUUGGAACCUGUUUAACCUGAGUGCAGAAGGGGAGAGUGGAAUUCCAUGGGGAGCAGGGAAGUGCGUAGAUAUAUGGAGGAACACCGGUGGCGAAAGCGGCUCUCGGGUCUGUAACUGACGCUUAGGCUCGAAAGCGGGGGGAGCGAACAGG
rnacentral:rRNA from 1 species